rfam:Triticum aestivum genome assembly, contig: Triticum_aestivum_CS42_TGACv1_scaffold_030409_1BL
GAUAUACACCCUCCUUCCGGAAAUACUUGUCAUCAAAAUGGAUAAAAGGGGAUGUAUCUAGAUGUAUUUUAUUUCUAGAUACAUGUUUUUUAUCCAUUUCGGUGACAAGUAUUUUCGGACGGAGUGAUACUUG